rnacentral:lncRNA from 1 species
CACUCCAGCCUGGGCGACAGAGUAAGACUCCGUCUCAAAAGAAAAAAAAAGAAAAGCCCCUCUUUCCAGGUGGACUUGACUGAGGUGAAUGGAUAUGACAGUAGCUAAAAGGAGAGGCUGGAAGAGAUUAUAGAAUUUUGUGGAGAAAAAUUCGUUCUUUUCCUGAGGGAAGGCCAAAGCCUGCAGUCAUGAUGGAGUUGGAGAAAGGUGUGAAGGGCCAGGCCAGGAGCCCAGGGAGAGGAGGCCUGAGAGAGGAGCCCUGUGGAAUGAAGCCUGUGAACAGCCCAUUUUCACUUCUGAAGCAGUUGGUCCCCCACAAAAAGAUUAUUUUCUCCAAAGCAGAUGAAAAU